UUUAGUGUGCGAUCAGCCCAUGGUGGUCCACGACGAGGAAUUUUAACAGGAGUGCAUUCACAUAUAGCAGAUCUCAUGAACUCACAAAAAGCCUCUGUGGCAUCGUCAAUGGUUGAAUAGUCCGAACAGUUAAAAGAAUUGUCAAAAGAUAAAAUCAAUCGCUCCAAUUUUGGAAGGUCAACACGAGCAUAAUUCAGCCUUUUAUCAGCAUCAAUGGCUGUAGCGAUCGUAACUGGGGCUACGUUGUCCAAGUCAAAGUCAAGCGGAGGGUGGUGUUCGUCGAUAGUAGUAAGGGGAUAUUCACAGACACGUAUUGAAGAACAUGUAGAUGCAGCUGGCCAAUUUGCGUAAAUUAGGUCAAGUAUUCGCCCCGAUGAGUUAGUAUUGGAGUUAAGCUGGUAUAGUCCACUCUGAUGCAAACCAUCAACGAACUGGACACUGCGCGCGGAGCGUGCAUGAGGCUCAUAGAAAUCAAAAGCAGCUCCAUUUUCCUCUGAUGCCGAUGUCCAGGAUAGCGUAGAUUGGUUGAAAUCACCAAUAAGCAUGAACCUGUCUCUCGGACCAAGAGUAGUGCUGAUAUUAGCAACGAAGUCGAUCAAUGCACUUAUUUUCUCCUCAUUCAUGCUAUGGUUAGGAGGCAGGUAGGCAGCGGCAAUAAACAAACGGUGGUCGCAUAACUGAAUACAUACGCAAGUGAGUUCUAACAGUUGCGGCAACGUAGGAAGCACAUAAGAGAGAAGAGAAACGUUGCAUGCAAUUAAAACACCACCCCCACGAGAGUGAGAGCUGUUAGUGGCAUCCCGGUCGCAUCGGUAAACACGAUACUCAUCUCCUAGGAGGAGAGCGGUGGGAAUACAGGGAUCGAGCCAAGUUUCAGUGAGUACCAAUACAUCGUAUUCCGUCUCAAGAACCGACAAACGGAACUCAUCGGCUUUAGAACGCAGGCCACGCACAUUCUGAUAGUACACAGUGAUACAAGCCGCUCGAUCAGUGGGUGCUUGUUGCAUAGUGUUAGUAGGCGCUGUGGUGUUGCAAUUGAGCGAGCUUAUCGUAGAAGAUGAGUGUAUUGUGUUUGUUGUCGAAGGAUUUGCUCGAGCCGUAUGCAUAAAAUAUGGGUGCGCUGCUGUAGUGCGGUUACUUCGGAAAAAAUUGAACCAGUGUAGUUUGAAGUGUUUUUGAACGUGACGUGGACGGAAGAGUGGGUGAAGGGAGAGUGCAGUUCAUAUCGGUUGGUGAUUGUUCGGUUUGUGUUCGUGCGGGUUCAUGGAUAUGUGCAGGUGAGUACGGAUUAUUGUGCGGAUUAUUGCGUUGGGUACAAGGCUGCUGUGGUGCCGGUGAGUGCUGAGUGCGAGGCUGUAGUGGUGCCGGUGUCUGCUGAUUACGGGGUUGUUGCGGUAUCGGUGUGUAAGUGUUCGUGUGUUGUGUUCGUGAAUGUAGAGAUCGCGGCGGGAGCGAGAUGAACUCACGCACACCGAGCCCGACCGGCCAGGAGGCUGCGUUGAGUGCCUUACUACGAAGGGCAGCAGGGAUUCUGACCUUGAACGAUACAGCACUCAAUGGGCUAGGAACCGUUCCUGCUUUUAGCAGACUAAAAGCAAUUGCGUCUGCAGUGUCCAACUGCAAACACACCAACGAGACAACUUGCUCUAUGGUGACGGACGCAGCCAACCUUGAAAGAUGCAGCCACAAAUAAUCGGUUCUUGGUGUCUGUGAAACAGUUGGUAUUGAAGCGGAGGUUGUAUUAGUACCUGUGAUUAUUGGUGGUAGUGAAGGACGAUCGAUCCGUGCAUCUGGGAGCAAUUGAUUGCUAUGUUGCAAGGAUGCCGAAUGGGCCGUGGCGAUUCCGGCAAAGCCAUCCCGAAUCUCCUGUAUUACCGGUGGGACCAAGCUAGCCUUCAUGGCAUCAACAGCAGCUGUGAGGGCUGCCUGAAACCCAACCUGCAUACCCAUGCCCUUGAUCGCCUUGCUACGCGGAUUCCCGAUGGCGUUGGUACACCCAAUGCAACUCCAGUGCAGGGAGGCCAUCCGUUUCACUUCGUCGAUGACCGAUACAGGCACCUUAGUGCACGCCAGAUGAUGCCACUGCAGAUGAACGUCGAAGGAGCCACAAAUAAAAUCCAAAUAUAUCGCGAACACGGUGGUUCUCGUCAGGAACACGAUGGCAGGGUCACGAGACUACACUUAUGGACACACUAAAACCCGUGUUGAUUAUAGCAAAACCAGAUUACACCAAUAAAACAGCGGAUAAAUGCGGAGCGAUAGCAGUAGACACGCUAUGUUGACAACUGUCAAAGAC